GGUGGCUCAGUGGUAGAGCGCUUGCCUUGCAUGCUGGAGGGCUGGGGUUCGAUUCCUCAACACCA
rnacentral:tRNA from 1 species